GGUUGUUGCAGGCUGCGCCAUUCCCCUACCCCCGCCCCCCCCGUUGCAGGGACUCCCCUGAUCCCGCCCAGGCUCGCGGGGCAGCGACGUCACGUCCCUGGCCAGCCCCGCGCCGGGCGCGCUCUGGCUUGGCCGCGCUGCCGACUCGUGGCGCUGGUGCCGGAGAGGGCCCGGCGCGGGGUUCCGCUCGGCCCGGGGCCCAGGGAGCCGGAAACGUGCUGGGGGGAGAAGGGCUCGGGCUCGCUCGGCCCCGCCCCGGCAGCCAGGCCCGGGUGGGGGACGGAAGCCGCGGCCUCCUCAACCGGCCUCUCGCCGGCAGGGUCCCGCCCCUUCCACUCGCUGCCCAGCCCCGGCUGCCAGGAACGGGCCGGGGGCAGGCACAGCACAGAGCCCCCUCCCUCCCCCCGGCGGGCCAAGCAGAAAUGGCGGGGAGGGAACUUGACCCCACAGGCCUCCCUACGCGUCACCUAGGCCUGGCAGGAUGUGGCGGGACAGCCCCCUGGGGAGCCAAGCCAGGGCUGGGACUGACCCAGCCAUGAGGAGGGGACCUCGGUGCCCUCCUGGGGGACACAUUGUGCAAUCGCUAGAGCGCAGGGGAGCAAACUACAGGCCCCUCUAAUCUCCCCAUCCUGCUUCCUGGUUUAGCAGGUCAGGUGGUCAUUGGUCCAGCUCUUCGGCUACCCCAGCUGCUGCCCACACCCGACCAUUGAAUGGCCGGUGAUGGUCAUUUUGUCCCACCUUUAUGCCAUGCCAGAGCAGACCAUUGACCCAUCUAGCCCAGUAUCCUAUCUCUGUUGUUUAUUAUUAUGUUUUUUUAUUACAGGAGCAUCUGUAAGCCCUAACUGGGAUCAGGGUCCCAUUGUGCUAUGCAGAUGCAGUUCCUGCCCCAGACAGCUUAUUGUCUAAGAUGAACAAUAUACAAAGGGUGGGGGAAAGGGACAUAAUCAAACACAUAGUUGUUAAUAUAAAUAUUUUGUAAUGAUGUCAAUAAAUAUCAGCUUUUGUAGCAACCUUGCAUGGAAGUUGGAGGGAGGAGCAGAGGUUGCAGGCGGAGGUAUCCGGAGGUCAGUCUGGGUGCACAUGGCUGGAAUGCUAGCUGCAGUUUCAGCAUCUCUGUAAAUAGUUGUUUUAAUAAAAAGCCAAUUUAAUUUUAGAAACUUGGAUCGUGUGCUGUUACUAUGCCGUGUGCAGUGCAUGAAAGAGCUUUCCCCAUUGUCCCUCAGCAGCUUGCUUAAAUUGCCCUUGGUCCCCUUCUGUCUGUGCUACUCUGGUACUGAAUUCUAUGGCAGAUUCAGGUAAAAUGGAAGCUUUGUUUUCACAUUUAAUCCAAUACAAUCAUACAACCAGUGCAGUGUCCCUUUGUAUGAUUUAUUUUGCUGGUAAAUUCAGUUUAUUUUAUUUAUGCUGCCAUAACUUUUCAACAUGCCACAGUGUUUGCUACUGAUCAGGCCUAUUUGCAGUGUAGUUUUCAGCAGAGAGCGAGACGUUUGGCAGUGCAGUGGUGGAUAUUUGGUAUCCAAGAAGGUGUGAGGGUUGGGACAUAGGUGACCGGAAACUAUGGAGGGGCUUCAACUCCUAGUUCUCCUUCCCCAGGAACUCUUGACAACCACUAGCCUUCCCAUUUCCCCCGACCCAAUAUCUGCCAUUCCAUCCAAGUAUGAUGAAUAUCUACAUUAGCUGAAUGUUUCUGCUAAAAUGAUCAACUGGGAAAUCGUUAACAGUUAUCAUUUCAAGUGUCAUUGUUAGGCUUUGAUGUUAACCCUACUAUAGAGAUAACAGUUCCCACCUCUCCUGGAGCAUUUAUAUCGGGCUGUUUGCAUACUCAGGUGGUAAAAGAUUUACAUCUGGAAUGUUUUCCUCACAGCUACAACAGCUAGAAACUUCGGACCAGAUUCUUAGCCAGUAUAAAGUGGCAUAGCUUGGAGCUGUGAUAAUUGGACCUUGUCUACACUACAGAGUAUUGUCAAAUGCAAGUUAUGCUGACAAUCAAAAACCGGUAUAAUUACAUCACUUCUGUAUGUUCGCGCAACGCUCCUUCUGUUGGAAGAGCGCAUUCACAGCUGGUGCUUUAGCACUGACAGAGCAGUGCACUGGAGGUAGCUAUCCCACUGUGCUACUCGCCACCUUCUGCAGCUAGGAGUUGUGGGAAGGUGGAAUGGAUUGCAGGGCAUUAUGGGAGCGGGCUCAACAUCCCACGAUGCAUUUUUUUCUACCGCAUCAUUCCAUGGGCUUCUAACUGCAUUUCACGGCAUUUUUCAACGACCCGUUUACUGUGUGCCCACCAUCUCUGUCUGAACAGAUGGAUCCUGCACUGCUCUCUACUGUUGUGGUCACUGUUAUGAACAUGUCAUGGCUGGCCAUGCAAUAUAUUAUGAGCACCCAGUCUGAACAGGAAUCAGGGGUGCCUGACAUACUGUGUGAAAAGAAACACCAGAUCACUUUUGGCAUUCACAGAGCAGCUACACAUGGUGGACCAUUGCUUUUUGGCUUGGGAAACAAGAACUGAGAAAUGAGAUCGCAUUGUUAUGCAAGUCUGGGAUGACAAGUAGUGGCUGCAGAAUUUUCAGAUACAGAAAGUCACCUUCCUGGAACUGUGUGUGGUUCACCCCAGCACUGUGGUGCAAGGACACCAAAAUGAGAGCUGCCUUCUUGCUGGUGAUUGCUAUGUGGAAGCUGGCAACUCCAGACAGCUACUGAUCAGUCACAAAUCAGUUUGGAGUCAGGAAGUCGACCAUUGGGGCUGCGUUAACACGAGUGUGCAGAGUCGUUAAUCGCAUCCUGCUACUGAGGACUGUGACUCUUGGCAAUGUGUGUGAAAUAGUGGAUGGUUUUGCAGCAAUGGGAAUCCCUAACUGCGGCGGAGCAAUAGAUAGCACACAUAUCCCAAUUUUGGCCCUGGACCAUCUUGGGAUGGAGUACAUCAAUAAAAAUGGGUACCUCUGUAUGUUAUUGAAGGUGCUUGUGGAUCACCAUGGGCAUUUCACUGACAUCAAUGUGAGGUGGUCCGGGAAGGUGCAUGACACAUGCAUCUUCAGAAACACUGGCCUGUACAGAAAGCUGCAAGCAGGAACUUUCUUUCCAGACCAGAAGAUUCCAAUGGGGGGUGUUGAAAUGUCCAUAGUGAUCCUGGGAGACCCAGCAUACACCAUACUUCCAUGGCUUAUGAAGUCUUACCUGGGAAACCUGGACAGCCAAAAGGAGUGCUUCAACAAUAGGCAGAGCAGGUGCAGAAUGACUGUAGAAUGUGCCUUUGGCAGAUUAAAAGCACUCUGGCGCUGCCUUUAGGGCAGGUUAGACAAAAGUGAGGAAAAUAUUCCCAUGGUCAUAGCAGCCUGCUGUGCGCUCCAUAAUAUUUGUGAGCCUAAAGGUGAAAAGUUUCCCCUGGGAUGGAGCGUGGGGGUGGAGUGCCUGGUGGCUGAUUUUGAGCAGCCAGAUACCAGCGCUAUUAGAGGGCCACAAUGGAGGGGGGGGCUAUUAGAAUCAAGGACUCUUUGAGGCACCAUUUUGACAAUGAGCUCCAGUAAUGUGUCUUUCUAUACACCACUCUGCCAUGCUUUAUUAACUUGCUGCCUUGCAUGAAAAUUUUGAUGAUUCCUGACUGUGAUUUGUACACAGAAGUGAUCAGAUUGCCACAGUGUAUUAAUUCCAGCAGCAACCACUGUGUAUAGGAGACAAAUAAAGAUUGGUUAUCUUU